UACGUAGGGACCGAGCGUUGUCCGGAUUCAUUGGGCGUAAAGAGCUCGUAGGCGGCUGUUCAAGUCGAACGUGAAAACUCGGAGCUCAACUCCGAGCCUGCGUUCGAUACUGGACGGCUAGAGUCUGGUAGGGGGAUCUGGAAUUCCUGGUGUAGCGGUGGAAUGCGCAGAUAUCAGGAGGAACACCCGUAGCGAAGGCGGCACUCUGGGCCGAUACUGACACUGAGGAGCGAAAGCGUGGGGAGCGAACAGG
rnacentral:rRNA from 1 species